UUUCUUUGUCCAAACCGAAAUAGAAAGAAUAGAAAAGAGGCAAAAAAAAUUAAAACCGAGCUCAAAAAUGAUAUUCCCGCUUCUCUUGUGCUUUGUUCGUCCUGUAACUUUGGAUUUGCGCUCACAGAAAUUCGCAGCUUCGUGGUGCUCUAGCAUCUUCGAUCUCAGAAAAAUUUCAUGUGCUCUUUUUUGAAGCUUUAAACUGGUCUUCGAUCUCACAGAACCCCACUUCGGCGUCGUGUUUGCUCUGGUCUGAAGCUCGGGUCUUCACGGUGCUCUGGUGCUUAGUGGUGUCGUCUUCUUCUCGAGGUUGGGUUCGGCUUCAUGGUGUCGUCUUCUACUCGAGCUGGUCCUCGGCACCGAGAUCUUCAAGUUUGAAGUGCCGUCUAUGCUGGCAUUUUUGUGGGUCUCUAGGAUCCUUGUGUGGGUCAUCUGAAACCCAGCGAGUAUUGUCUAUGGAGGCUGUGUUGCUUAGGACAUGUUGAAGCUGCAAUGGAGAGUAGCCACACUUUGAGCAAAUGCAUUUAUGUUUAAUUUUAUAAUGUAAUUUAGCUUCAUUCCCAAACUGGCUAGAAUAGAAAUGGGAGAACAAAUUCAUUUAUGUUUAAUUGUAUAAUGUAAUUUAACCAGUAUGUACAAGUCUGUGGGUGUUUCAUUUAAUUGAAAAGUUUGUAAAUUUGGGAGAACAGAUUGCAAUAGAAAGUAGAAACUACAAAUAUGAGAAUUAUCUUA